GUGGCAGCCUUUUCUCUCACAGGCCGUUGACUGGGCAGGAGGGGAAGGGGUUCCUGACAUGUUAGAAUCCAUGAGUGCAGUUACCGAGAGGCCUAGGCUCCACCCCUGCCGGUGACCCCCAAGAUUUGACUCUUCACUGAUGGAGCUGGGAUCUGCAUUAUGCCUGCCCUGGUUCCAGAACACACCUCUGACACUUGGAGACUGGAUUCCUAGCCACGUGCAAAGACCGGGAUUUAAGUGUGGCUAGGAAGCCAAAUACAUUAAUUACAAGGCUCCCAGUAAAGCAGCAACAGGUGACACACUGUCCUGCGUGACCCUCACACCUUGACUGUGUCAAAGGCAGUCGGCCUGUUCUGUAAAGUGAGUUUUUAUGGCGUCUGCUUCAUUAAACUACAGAGGAAACAAAA